GCGCGGUCGGAUGGGGUCUGACCUCAUCCGACGGUAAGGUUGAACCGACUCGUCGUUCCCGGCGGGUGAGGUGAUGACCGGGUCCUGUGCAACUGGCGCCCGUGAACCAGGUCAGGCCAGGAAUGGAGCAGCCUUCAUCGGCAUCGUCGGUGUGCCGCAGAUCGCCUGGUCAUCACCUCACUCGUCGGGAACGUCCGCGU
rnacentral:SRP_RNA from 1 species